UGGCGGUCUAUUUCUCCAUGGAGGAGUGGGAGUAUGUAGAAUGACACAAGGAUCAGUACAAGGAUCAGAUCAUGAUGGAGGAUCAGCAGCCCCUCACAUCACCAGUCACAUCCAGUAAGAGAACAGCACCAGAGAGGUGUCCCCGUCCUCUUGAUGAGCAGAAUAUGGAGGUCAUUACUACAGGGAAAAAUCUGAUCUUUAUUAAUGCUACAGACAUAAAGGAAGAAGAGACGGAUGUGAGCGGUGAUGAGCAGUAUAAGGAGGACAAGGACAUUCCUACAGGGAAAGGUCUGACUUAUAUAAAUGCUACAGACAUAAAGGAAGAAGAAGAGACAGAUGUGAGCGGUGAUGAGCAGUAUAAGGAGGACAAGGACAUUCCUACAGGGAAAGGUCUGACUUAUAUAAAUGCUACAGACAUAAAGGAAGAAGAAGAGACAGAUGUGAGCGGUGAUGAGCAAUAUAUGGAGGACAAGGACAGUCCUAUAGGAAAAGAUCUGAUCUAUAUGAAUGCUUCAGACAUAAAGGAAGAAAAAGAGACAGAUGUGAGCAGUGAUGAGCAGUAUAAGGAGAACAUUCCUACAGGUAACCGCCCAAAUUCUUGUAGCAGGAGAUCAGAGGAGAAUCUUAUAUCUUCAGAUUAUAAAGCAGAUGAUGAUAUCACACAAGAUACAUAUGAAGAACAUUCCAUUAUCCCAGAUACACCCUCAGCCCUUCACAGCCAAGAUCUGUCAUCUCAUCCUUAUAUACAGGUCCUGUCUUCUCAGUCAUCACAGGAUGUUCAGCAAAAUAAAAGUCAUAGAAGGGGCGCUGGACAUCAACGAACUCAUACAGGAAAGAAACCAUAUUCAUGCUCAGAAUGUGGGAAAUGUGUUACUUCUAAAUCAAGUCUUGUUAAACAUCAGAGAAUACACACAGGGGAGAAGCCAUUUGCAUGUUCACAGUGUGGAAAAUGUUUCACUCAGAAAUCAUAUCUUGUUGAACAUCAAAGAACUCACACAGGGGAGAAGCCAUUUUCAUGUUCAGAAUGUGGGAAAUGUUUUCCUUUUAAAUCAGGUCUUGUUGUACAUCAAAGAACUCACACAGGAGAGAAGCCAUUUUCAUGUCCAGAAUGUGGGAAAUGUUUUACUAAUCAAUCAAGUCUUAUUCAACAUCAAAGAACUCACACUGGAGAGAAGCCAUUUUCAUGUCCAGAAUGUGGGAAAUGUGUUACUAAUCAAUCACAUCUUAUUCAACAUCAAAGAACUCACACUGGAGAGAAGCCAUUUUCAUGUCCAGAAUGUGGGAAAUGUUUUACUAAUCAAUCAAGUCGUCUUCAACAUCAAAGAACUCACACUGGAGAGAAGCCAUUUUUAUGUCCAGAAUGUGGGAAAUGUUUUAUUGAUCAAUCAAGUCUUAUUCUACAUCAAAGAACUCACACUGGAGAGAAGCCGUUUUCAUGUGCAGAAUGUGGGAAAUGUUUUACUCAGAAAUCAGGUCUUAUUCAACAUCAAAGAACUCACACAGGGGAGUAGCCAUUUUCAUGUGCAUAAUGUGGGAAAUGUUAUACUGUGAAAUCAAAUCUUGUAAAAACAUCAAAGAACUCACACAGGGAAGAAGCCAUUUUUCAUGUGCAGAAUGUGGGAAAUGUUUUACUGAUAAAUCAAGUCUUAUUCAACAUCAAAGAACUCACACAGGGAAGAAGCCAUUUUUCAUGUGCAGAAUGUGGGAAAUGUUUUACUGAUAAAUCAAGUCUUAUUCAACAUCAAAGAACUCACACAGGGGAGAAGCCAUUUUCUGUUUCAAUAGUUUUUAUUGAAUAUUUUUUGACAAUCUAAAAGAACAAUGCAAGUCCCUUGCAGGGGACUAAGUAGAAGUCAAGCAAGUAUAUAAACAGGAAGUACAAGCUCUCAUGGAACGUUUACGCCUGAAAGCAACAUGGAGAGCUAGAAGAGGAUUGUUUUCAAAAGGAUCCUGAAUGGCCGAGCCUGCAGGAGAUACCUCAGGACAGCAAUAGCAAUCAUCCCAGAAUAGGUAACACAAAUUGGUGCAAGUGUUCUAAUUGUAAAGUCAUGAAGACCCGGGAUGAAAGCUUCUGCUGCCAAGAAGAAGAUGCACUAAAUCAACAAUUUGAUAAAGGUCUGAAGUGCAUCUUAGAACACGAAGAAUUAGUUCAUCUUAGACUCAAUGAAAAAAUACUAGAAAUUAUGGCAGAAUUCGCUGGAAGAAUUACAAGGAAAGAAAUGUUAGCAAAUCGCAACUGGUAAAAGAAAUAUUUUUUUUUGGGCUAUGUUUAUUAUUUCUAAUUAUCUAUCUAUGUAUUAUUGAAGCUUUGUUUUGAUUAAAAAAUGUAGUAAACUAUGUAUAUAACUGUAUUGUAACUAAUCUUUAUUUCUUGUAAGUUUAAAAAAAAAAAAUUUUUAAGGGUCAUAAGAAAAGCGGCAUACCGUUCCUUCUCAUGUUUUGCAUGUUCUUGGACCACGGAGAAGAAAACCCAAUACCGUCUUGUGUGGUAAAAUACAUCAGAAAAGAGUUUCCUGACCCGGACGGAUUUUAUAUAGGUUUUCGAUAUGCGGGGGAAUAUGCAGCCUGUGACAUGGCGUCCGACGUCUGAUUCAAAUUUUCGUUGUUAGACACAAUAUUUAUUUACUAAUAAUAAAUGUUCUAAGUUAUUUUGUUUACAUUGUUAUUUAAUUCUUUUCAAUGUUAUUUAUGUUACUAUAUUUAUUAUAUAAAUGAAAGUUAUUUAUGGUUAUUUAUCUUCACUGAUGUAUUGUUUCAAAUUAUUUUAAUUAUUUUAGUGCAGGAAAUACUGGAUUCAUUACAUACAUCGUACCAGCAUCUUGUAUAUUUAGCUGGUACGAAGUAUGUAGUACCACCCACUGAAUGAAUCCAGUGAUCACUCAACUUACAAUGUACUCAACAUACAAUAGUUUCAUCCAACAAUGUUUUCUGGACCAUUGUAACUUGAAACCAGACUCAAAAUAAAAUACUAAGGACCAGUUUUUCAAAACGAGCAUGCCUCCAUCUGUUGCAAAACUACAACAACCAGCAUGUCUG